rnacentral:misc_RNA from 1 species
AACGAGGCCGACCUGCGGCUGAGUUACCUGCGGAAGGAUCAUUAAAAAGAGUGUGUACCCCUCUGUAAAAUGAGUGGGUUACCUCCCGUCCUUUGUUGACCUCUUAGGAGGUUAUUUUGAACUUUCUGCUUCGGUGGGGUUAAACCUACCGGAACACCCUCAAAUUCUUAUCAUUUAAAAAUUGUUCAGUCUGAUUUUUGUUAAUAAAAACAAAAAACUUUCAACAACGGAUCUCAGAUC